CAAUGAAAUUCCUGGUCUUGAUUAGUAUUUUGAGUGUGCUCAUGCAAAGAACAUGGGGAAAUGUUCAAGGCAACUAUGAUUCCCUCAGCGAAGAGAUUUUAAGUGAUAUUGACUUUAAUGUUGAUCAGUUUGAACGCCAGCCUCUAGAAGAAAAUCUGCCUUAUUCUCUGGAAGAUGAUGGAUCUCAAAAU